rnacentral:miRNA from 15 species
UGUUAUGGUCAUGUACUUGCUGGGCU